ACUGUUAUAAUUAUGAUCUAAUGAGGAAAGUUCAUGGCAAGGGCAAGUUCUCACCACAGAAACAGUCAGACCUGGGGGUUUGUUGGCCCAUCAUAUAAGGUCCUGAAUGAGAAGGGUGUGAUCUUUUUAUUCCCUCCCCUUCAAGGACCUAGGACAUCAGUUUUCUGUUUUCUACAUUCCUGUGGCUGUUGCUCCCAUUGCUUAACUGCUUUGUUCUCUGUCUUAUUAUUUGGAACUUUGUUCCUGUUAUUCAUCAGUUUCAUACUUAUGAUGCUUCUUAUAGAUAUCAUAAGUCUCACUUUGGAACCAUCACAUAUUUUCCUAAAAGGAAUCACAGGACUGACAGGAAAAUCAAUUGCUUCAUGAUUUCCCAAAUGCAAAUAUACAGUGCCACAAUUAAGACAAAACAUAAUAGGGUAAGUAUUACGAGAACAACAAGGUAAAAUAUCUAGUUUAAACUCCCUCUAGUGACAGUAACCAUCUGAAAAGUGUCCUACCACCCCUGUGCUCUGUCUCACUUCACUUGUUCCAACCCUUGUGUGCUUUCCACAUCAUGAUGGUCAGUAAUCAAAGUAUUUUAUCCAUUUUUCUGAGUUUGUUUUAGCAGCUGUUGCAGAUCAUCAUGCUAUAAUAAUUUUCUUACUCAAGUGAGAUUCAUCCCAACAGAGGUGAGCAACAGAUCUUGAAUCAGUAUAUAAUUAUACUGCAAUGGCUGAUAUAAUGUGACAGGAGCUGAAUAAUUGAAAUCCCACACAUUCAUUUUGGUGAAAUUGCAAACACAAGCAUUAGAGUAAUUAUCUGUAUCUACAAUACGGUUAUCUACAAAUAUGAAGCCACAAAUUGUUCUCAUAUAAGCACAUUGUUUUCCAGUAUAUAAAGUACAGAUUAAUGAGCUUCAUCAGGAUGGAUUUCAAAAUGACAAACACUAUUCUGGAUCCAGACAAAUGUCAGGGCUUUGGUGUGAGUCCCUGCUCCCAUAUAGUGCAUGUGCUAGCACUGAUGGUUUGCUAUUCCCCGUGGGCCUAUGUCCUUUGCUCCAGGGGUAGGGUUCAGUUAUGAUUCAGGCCUAGUGCAGUGACUGAGUGAUGGACACUGAGGUUCCUGUAUGGAUUAGUACUGUGCUAUUGAUGGUAUUAUAACUGACUAAAUGCCACCAAGGCUGGAAUUCCUUUGCAAAUUCAGUCAUUAUUCCAAAUUACUUUUUGAAGUUCAGUGGGUGAAGAUGCCUUCUUCCCCUUCUGUUAAAAAUUGCCGCAGCUGCUGUUGAUUGUAUCCACAACUGAGCUUAGAUGUAGCUAAGAGAAAAAGAACCUUUGCCUUUGUUUGCACCAAGUGCCUCUGGGAUCAACUAUGAGCUCGCUUAUUGAUUCUUUCCCACUGAGGCAAUGUGUCAGAUAAGAGCCAUUGAUUAGUUUCUAAUACUGGUAGAGAAGACCACAGAGGGUGUUGCAAUUUGCUUAAAUCACUUGUGGUUGUGCUCAGGUUAUUUACAAGUACUUCAGCAUCUGUACAAUUUAAAACUCCCUGUGGUCCCUGUGGUUCCAGUCACAAUCCUCCUUAUUCCUUUUGGAGAAGUGGGGCUUUGCCCAUGUAGCCAAGCUAACUGUCUUGCAUGGGAAGCACUUAAGGAUGAUGACCACAUUGGUUUAAGUAAAGAAAUAUUAAUCUGCCUUACUAGUUCUAUUUGUUUAAGAAACCAAGGUGGAUUAAACAACAUUUGUUGCUGAUCUGCAUUUUUGAUCACAUGGUCUAACUUCAAAAAUUUGUGGGGAUUGAAUUUUCUCAUCCUCUUGGACUGGGGCAGAUGUAAUUGUUUUGGUUUCAGUAAUAUCUACCUUGAAUUUAAAUGUUAGUCCCGCAUUAUGGGGAUCCCAAAAGCAUAGAACAAAACCAGGUUUAACCAGGGUAACGUUAUACCAACAAUCCCACCUUUUGGUGGCACAAAAUUUUGAGUCUUUUGCACAUGAUUCUGUUGUACUAGGAAACAUUGAAAUCUGAGUGGCUUUCCCAUGUGUCGAUGUAUUGAUAAUUUUGCAGCAUAUCUGAAUUUUUUCUUGGGUUGUUCCUUUCAAGAGAGGAACCCAACUAUACUGUGUGGCAAAACCGUGUCUGUGGGCAAACAGGAGUUCUGCAGCAUGGGCUCAGCCUGUGUAUGUGAACUGCAUCAGUCCGCCCAGCUCAGCCAAUGCAGGUGUGCCUGCAGCAGUACUUGGGCUGCUGUGCAGGAACACUGCUGCAGGGUGCUGUGGGAGUGCCCAACGGCCUGCCAGAGAGCAGGCUGGAAUGGAAAGGACCUUCCAGGAGCUACCUGGGUAAAACUUCCGCAUGUAAAAACAGGUCCAGACAAGAACCUAGGAGCUCUAGUUUUGAUAAAGUUUGUUUCAUGGGUUUGCUAAUUGUAGAGCAGGUGCAAUCUCCUCUUCUGCUAUAAGAAGGAAAUCUUGGCAAGUGUUCUGUUCCAUGUUCUGCUCUGUCAGGUGGUGCCCAGUUUGUGUUUGCACCAUCGUUGGUGAUACUGUGGUAAGGCUGUUGUGCCUUCUGUUGCAGGCAGUUUGUUUUAUUUAGUUCGAGCCAUAACACAACUUUCAUUUUUUAAAUAUGAAUUGCCACCAAAUUCAGUGCAUAAAGAACAAAUACAGUAGGCUUGCUAGGAAAAUAAAAUCCCUGCAGGAAGACUGUUUUCAGGCUUUUCAUGGACUAUUUCAAACAAUGCAGGCAUUAAGUGAGAAGGACAUGAUUUCAAGAAAGUAUUUCUGCUGCUGAUCUUCAUUUCACCAUAUUGGAGGACACAAUGUCAGUUAAUAUGCAGUUGUUAUUAGCUGUAGCCCUCAAAACACCUUACAGAGAUGGGAAGCCAAGGGACAAUGAAAGCUGUGAAAAGAGAUUUUGGUGCAUGUUGGUUGGUUCAAUGUCUUUGUCAGCUUGGUAAUGUCACAUGUGCUGUUUGAUGGCCUGAGACACACAUGUUCUGUUGGACUUCUCUGCAGGGAGGAGCUUCCUCUGGGGCAAGGAAGAGUCUCUACCCUUAAGCACUUGGUGCUCUUAGGUUGGGUGGUGCUGGACAGAGCUGCUUGGGAAUUGGGAACUGUGCAGCUUGUCACUGGUCUAGCAGGAGCUACAGGAUAUGCUGCUCAGUGCACAGACCAAGACAAAGCGAUUGAGACAAAGGGAUUCCUGACUUUUGUGUGAAACUGCAGCAGAUGAAAUGGCAAAGAAAUUACACAUGGCGAGACUGGGAAGCUGCAAUAAAAGAGAACUACAGCACAGACUUCAUUUUAAUAAACAAAUAUUAGCUGUUGUGUAAAGCCUUUGUGCGUUCCAGGAUGUACUUGUUCAACCUGUUCCUCUCUAAGUGGUAUGCAUAAAUCUUCAAAUCAUUUCAAGCACAUUAAACUCUGCCUGGCAUAUCAGCCCCAAAAGUCCUGGUAAGUGGUGCAUACAUAAGCCAAAUAAUUUCCUGAAUUUACCUUUAAUUCUAGGAUAGAAGACUUUAUUCCUACAAUGUACAAAAAACCACCAACAAAUUCAGUGGUCUAAUCAGUGUCAUCUGCCAUACUUAUAUUGUUUCUGUUGUGUGCAAUUCCCACACCAUGUUCACAGGAAGACACUCUUGCUUUGGAAAACCUUGCUGUUGUUGAGGACCCUUGUUUUCACAUGUUGUCAUUCCUGCUCUUCCCUCCUUGCACCUUCUCACUGCCCUUUCUCCCUCAGCCUGCACAGGACAGCCAGCUGGUCAGGUGGCUGGAGGAAUGUGUACUUUUAUAGUAUGUUUAUGAUUCUUGUCAUAUAUGGCCACAGAUUGUACUCGUGGCCAUUAUGCCACUCUUGCUCAAUUUUAAUGAAAAACUUCUAGAUUAUAUUAUUAGCAGAAAUUUCCGUCUGAUGCUUCAUUUAUAAUGGGCUACGAAUGCUUAAUUCAUUCCAGAACUGAAGAGAAAGAAUCUGAAGUCUGAGUAUUGUUGAACGUCCAGCUAACAGGGACUCUCCAACUCUCCAGUUGUUUGUUAAAGCAAUUUUAUAGAUGUUUGUAACUCAAAUCAAGAGAAGCUUAUGUAGUUUCAAAGGUUUUUAAUUGUUACAUGUUUACUGGAUUUGCCACAAGAGGUUGCUGUAUGCCUACAGCUUGUUCCAGCUCUGCCAGCUGAGCAGCUCUCAGAAAUACAGCUGUUUUCUGCCAAGGAGGUAUAUUUUAAUCUGCUGGAAAAGUUUCAAAGAAAAAGAAUAGACAAGUUUAUAAAAAACUCAUUUGGUAUUUCAUGGGGGACACGACUGCCUAGAAGCUGUGAAGAUACAAAGGACAUAAUUCCAUGGUAACAAAAAGUGGUAUCAGAUUUCACACCCUUCCUCCAGUCUCUGGGUUCCCAGCUGGAGUCAGGUACAGGUGAGGCAGCACAAGGAACAGGAAAGAGUGCAGACUGUAUUGGUAUUGGGUACAUUCAGUAUGAUUUUCUCAGUUUGUAGAUGCUUACAUAGUAUGUUUCUGAAUGUGGUCACUUCAUAAAUUCAUUGCUCCAUGAGCCAGGCAACAUUAGGAAGUUGGAUAUAGCAUCCCACAGUCAACAGUUAUGUAUCAAGGGAUGAAGUUUCUGAACCCAUCUCUAUACCCAGUGUAUUUCUUUUAUAUUUGGACUUCUGGAGAGCAAUUCAGAAGUUAUUAUUAUGUAAAAGAAUGAUUAAGACUUUUCUUAAGUUAUGAUACAAAUGUUUCAUAUAAUAGGUAUCAGUUGCAAAAUAUGCAAUUAACAUAUACUGAAACAGAACAGUCACUAAAAUGAAGAUUGAUAAUAAAAUUUAAAUUCAACCUUCUACUUUCAUUGAUCAUAACUUUCUUAAAUCCCUUCUAGUUUCAAUUUUUCACAAUGUGUUUUUUCAAAGUUAAAGAGAGAGCUGGAGGAAACUGAGCUGUCUUUAAGCUAUGUAAGCCUGAAAUACUUGGGGUUUUUAUUUUAUAAUAAAGAAAUAUUAAAUAAUGA
rnacentral:lncRNA from 1 species